GUUGUUUUGGAAGCCCUAAUUCUAUGGUGAUUUGAAACCCUAAUUUUUUGUCCAAUUGUCACUUGACAUCUUUGUGUAUUAGCCAAUAAAAUGUUGACAACUCUAGGUUUGCAUCCCUAAUUCCCUUCUCCCUUGGUAACCCUAAUUCCUGGCAAACCACAUGUUGAGAAGUGAGAACUAGAAACUUACACAUGGAUAGCUACAUGGAACACAUGCAUUGGGCCCAAUAAAAUAUAUAUUUCUUUUUUCCCAAAUUUUUUUCAUUUAUCAAGUGUUUUUCUCUCUCUUCUCUCUUUUCUCUCUCCCGUACUCUCUCUUUUCUCACCAUCCUCACUCACACUCUCAUCUCUCUUUACCCUCAACUAUUAUUCAUCUCUCUUCUCUCUUUUUUCCCAAAUCAAUCGCUCGUGAGAGUGAUUUUUUGCCGAGUGAAAGAAGAUUUGCCGGCGGGAGAGAAGUUCCGGCGAGGAGGAGGAGUUCCGGCCGAGAGAAUUCUUGUGGCGGUGACACGGCGGUGCUUGGCGACGGCGGCGACGAUUUCUCAUUCUUUCCUCUGGUUACACCAUUUUCUUAAACUCACAAUGAAGUAAAGUUCUAGAUGGAUUUGAAUUUCAGUAGAAAGACCACUAAUUGGAACCGUCCUCCGGUUCUAUCUACGACAAACAAUUUUCAGGCAUCAUGUUGUUCAAGCAAUGGAUCCGUUGAAAUCACUCAAGAAAGGAUCAAAUCGUUAGAUCUAGAGGUGGAGAGAGCACAAGUUGAAACGUCGACGUGUAAUUACCGUGAAGAAAAAAUACGGAGAUGGGAAUAAGCGCAGAUGAUUCUUCAGUUGCUGGUCUUGGUGGUUGUCCAUAUGCUAAGGGGGCUUCGGGAAAUGUAGCUACCGAAGAUGUUGUGUACAUGCUUAAUGCUCCCCUCUGGUUCCUUGGGUUAUCACUGGUAGUUAACGAGUAAUUUUUCCUUCGUAAUUUUUUUGCACAAAUUGUUAAUUAAUGAGUAACCGCGGGAAACUUGAAACAGUUGAUUAUUGAUGAGGGAAUAGAACAAUUUAUAUACAUUUCUAUUAAAAAUCCACUAGAGGAGUAGUGGCAGUUGCCCUCACAAACUAUAACUUAUAUCCACCACUGGUUAACAGAUUCAGUGAUGACAAUAGACCACAGCUCAUAGACGGGUAUUCUUAAAUAUCUUGGUUAAUUACAAUUAUGAUCUACUGAAGUUUGGGUGGAGAAUCGAUUACUAGUGCUUUGUGGGCUUGUAUUGUUGAAUAAUUGGUCUUUUGCUACUGGCAAGCCUGUGUUGCCUCUGUAAGGAUUGCUACUGCCGAGCAGAAACAUCAUGGCGGUCUUUUGAGUUUGAUAGGAAAAUAUGAGGCUGUUAUUAAUAAUUUAUACCCUUCUGUUUUGCCUUGUGUGGAAAUACUGAUAUCUGAAAUUGUCUUUUUCAAACUAAUUUGUUUGUAUCAACUAACAAGGCUUUGCAAAAUAUUUUGCCAUCAUUUAGGUAUAUCCAAACAUGAGAGCGGCAUUCAUGGAUAUCAUUUGAGUUUGCACUCUGAUUGGUUCAUGCUUCAAAUCUUUGCAUCAGCACUAUCCAGGCAUCAAGUGGCAUGAUUGUAGAUGCAAAUGCAACGCAAGAUGAACUGAUAUCUACUCCUACUACUUUCAUCACCAAAUGGUUUUGGAGGAGUAUCUGCGCAUUUUGAUGUUCCUUUGUUCAGUGACGAACACACAGUCAGUUUCAAGGCCACGAUGACUUUUUAUACUUUAUCUCCAUGUUCUCUACAGCAGAUCAUCCCAACAAAUAAAGGAUGGAUUAGCCUGAAAGUUUUAAUCAUCUGUGUUAUAAGAAGUAUUAUAGUAUGGGGAAAUAUUGGUGGUGUUUGAUAUAGGUUACCUGAUUAUGCCUUUUUUCCUUUUGAAAUGCUAGAGUUUUGUUUGGUCGGUGGAAUGAGAUUUUUAUUGAGCAUGGCUUAAGUGGUGGGGAUUGAAACAUAGAUGAAAAACUUCUAUAUACACCAUGCAUGUUCUCAUUUAAACUAAUGAGGUGAAAAGUACAAGCAAUACUAAUGAGGGAACUUUAGAUUGUAGGAUAUGAUAGAAGAUUAUCAAUUUGGUUUUGGGCCUUCGAUCUAUAUGUCCUAAAGAGGGAGGGACCUGGAGUUUGAAGUUAUCAACCAAAUUAAUGGAAAAAAGGAGCUAUGAUUAUUUUUGAAUUAUUGUUUAGAGGAAGAGAGAAAUGGAUUGAGUCUAUGUAUUGAUGUUUUUCUUUAAAGUAUAUCCUAAUGCACUCUUGCAUCCUUAUUGUGCAUUGAAACUUUUUUUUCUUCAUAUUGUCAUGAUAAUGAUAAUUUAUGUGGUUGUUUUUGUAAAUUGAAUUUGGCUUCAUAUGAUAUAAUGAGAUUGACCUAGAAAAUCUUAUACAUUGAAGGUUGAUGAGAGGAAAGGAAGGUAGAAAUAAUUCUCAUAUGUUGAAGAAUACUAUUUUGGAACUUGCUAUCAUGUCCUUCACAAAAUUCUUCUAUCAUCACUAAAAUUUCUCCUACCUAUAUUUUGAAUAGCA